rnacentral:ncRNA from 1 species
AUAACAAGGCGCCGAUGACAAAUCUCCGUGUGAGAGAGUCCCGUUUAAACUGGACUAGUCGGUAUCCUGGCC